AUUCCUCAGCCCUAGGACAGCCAGUCAGACUGGAGCCGUGACCUACAGCUUUCACCCAGAGUACCAUGAAAACUUUAUCAGUUCUGGGCUCCUGACUACAAAGAUGCCUGGUGACUCAAGUUAUGUCAAAUAACGGGGGAUUAACUGUGAGGACACAAGUGGAAAGACAGAAUCAGGGCCACUUGGCCAGGUCCCCUGGGAAUACUGACAAAGUCAGACCUCAUGUUUGAUUGAGGUGAGGGAAAUGGCAGCAGCAGGAGUGAGUACAUAAGAGAAAUGCUACAGCAUCAAGAGGAGCUGCAGGCAGACUCUCCUCACCCCAGAAGCCAACACAGGAGGGCCUGGGGUUCAUACCAGGCCAUUGUCCUCCCCUGUCCAGAGAAUUGCUGAGAAGUAAACUGAGGUUUGUUCAAGCAAGGAUAAAGAAUAACGGGUUCUCCUUGGGACACGUAUCAUGUCAAGGAAGGGCCAAGCUUGACCUCCGUAGCUGUAUUCCUAGCUCUAACCUCCUCACGAAGGGGCUGAAACACUGACUUAAUCCAUGUGUCGAAGCGUGUCAUCCUCAGAACUA
rnacentral:lncRNA from 1 species